ACCACUAUUCCAUGUCUUUGAAAUAUUAAUAUUGACUUCAGUUAAAGCUAGUUAGAGAUAUUGUAGUAAAGAACUAAAAAUGCAAUCAUCAUCACAACUGCAAACAGAUAUAUACAAAAUCUUUAUUCCUGUAACAUAUUACAAACACAUUUUUGACCACAUAAUCAUCGUGAUUUUGGUCCAACGACUCAUUUAACACAAGCAAAAAAAAAUUGAAAGGUGUAACAGUAGGAAAACAAAAUUAAUUGUAGUGUUGAUAUUUUCUCGACAAACACCAAAAAAAUUCAACACCAUUAACAGUAGAAAAAAGCGGAAAGACAUGACACAUCAACAUGUGGCACCAACACAACACAACAUAACUCAACUCAUACAUUAUAGGUUUGUAUUAGUUUCAUACCAAAUGUGUGCUAGCUUUGACAAGCAGUUGCAAAGUAACAUGUCCUCAAAAUUACUCUAACAAAACAAAACAAACCCUUUAAAAGUAAUAUUC
rnacentral:lncRNA from 1 species